rnacentral:ncRNA from 1 species
UGAAAGGCGAGGAAGGGGUAAAGUAGCCCUGGAAAGGCUUUCCCAGCGAGCCGGGGAGGGUGCGAGCCCGGUAAAGCCGCCAGGUGUGAAGUUCACCCCGGAGCUGCCGGGUGAAGCCCGGGAGAAAGUUCCCGGGUGCGUAGUCUAGGCCGGAACUCCCACCGUUAAAAGGGAGGGGAUAUCGGAGAAGAUAAAAGCGCUUCUCCCGUAUCCUGUAAAGAGCCGGGUCGCCUUGUGCGGCCAAUUAGGGUGGUACCGCGGGAAAAAAAUUCCCGUCCCUAAG